GACGAACGCUGGCGGCGUGCCUAAUACAUGCAAGUCGAGCGGACAGAAGGGAGCUUGCUCCCGGAAGUCAGCGGCGGACGGGUGAGUAACACGUGGGCAACCUGCCUGUAAGACUGGGAUAACUUCGGGAAACCGGAGCUAAUACCGGAUAGGUUCUUCCCUCGCAUGGGGGCAGACGGAAAGACGGUUUCGGCUGUCACUUACAGAUGGGUCCGCGGCGCAUGAGCUAGUUGGUGGGGUAAUGGCCCACCAAGGCGACGAUGCGUAGCCGACCUGAGAGGGUGAGCGGCCACACUGGGACUGAGACACGGCCCAGACUCCUACGGGAGGCAGCAGUAGGGAAUCUUCCGCAAGGGACGAAAGUCUGACGGAGCAACGCCGCGUGAGCGAAGAAGGCCUUCGGGUCGUAAAGCUCUGUUGUCAGGGAAGAACAAGUGCCAGAGUAACUGCUGGCACCUUGACGGUACCUGACCAGAAAGCCACGGCUAACUACGUGCCAGCCGCCGCGGUAAUAC
rnacentral:rRNA from 1 species